GGCGUCUACAUUAGCGGAUUUGAAAUCUGUUUUAGGGGGGAAUCCUCCAGAUGUCU
rnacentral:tRNA from 1 species